rnacentral:rRNA from 1 species
CCCUUAGAUGUUCUGGGCCGCACGCGCGCUACACUGACGACGUCAGCGAGCAUGUCCUACGCCGACAGGUGCGGGGAAUCUUGUCAAACUUCGUCGUGAUGGGGAUUGAUUUUUGAAAUUCUUGAUCAUAAACGAGGAAUUCCUAGUAAGCGCAAGUCAGCAGCUUGCGUUGAUUACGUCCCUGCCCUUUGUACACACCGCCCGUCGCUACUACCGAUUGAAUGGUUUAGUGAGAUCUUCGGAUUGGCGCCACUGCAGCUCAGCAAUGGGCUUGGUGGAUGCCGAAAAGUUGAUCAAACUUGAUCAUUUAGAGGAAGUAAAAGUCGUAACA